rnacentral:rRNA from 1 species
GAUGAACGCUGGCGGCGUGCCUAAUACAUGCAAGUCGAGCGAACAGACGAGGAGCUUGCUCCUCUGACGUUAGCGGCGGACGGGUGAGUAACACGUGGAUAACCUACCUAUAAGACUGGGAUAACUUCGGGAAACCGGAGCUAAUACCGGAUAACAUGUUGAACCGCAUGGUUCAACAGUGAAAGACGGUCUUGCUGUCACUUAUAGAUGGAUCCGCGCCGCAUUAGCUAGUUGGUAAGGUAACGGCUUACCAAGGCAACGAUGCGUAGCCGACCUGAGAGGGUGAUCGGCCACACUGGAACUGAGACACGGUCCAGACUCCGAAGGGAGGCAGCAGGAGGGAAUCUUCCGCAAUGGGCGAAAGCCUGACGGAGCAACGCCGCGUGAGUGAAGAAGGUCUGCGGAUCGUAAAACUCUGUUAUUAGGGAAGAACAAAUGUGUAAGUAACGAUGCACGUCUUGACGGUACCUAAUCAGAAAGCCACGGCGAACUACGU